rnacentral:rRNA from 1 species
GGAAUAUUGGACAAUGGGCGCAAGCCUGAUCCAGCCAUGCCGCGUGCAGGAUGACGGUCCUAUGGAUUGUAAACUGCUUUUGCACAGGAAGAAACAACGCUACGUGUAGCGUCUUGACGGUACUGUGAGAAUAAGGAUCGGCUAACUCCGUGCCAGCAGCCGCGGUAAUACGGAGGAUCCAAGCGUUAUCCGGAAUCAUUGGGUUUAAAGGGUCCGUAGGCGGUUUAGUAAGUCAGUGGUGAAAGCCCAUCGCUCAACGGUGGAACGGCCAUUGAUACUGCUAAACUUGAAUUAUUAGGAAGUAACUAGAAUAUGUAGUGUAGCGGUGAAAUGCUUAGAGAUUACAUGGAAUACCAAUUGCGAAGGCAGGUUACUACUAAUGGAUUGACGCUGAUGGACGAAAGCGUGGGUAGCGAACAGGAUUAGAUACCCGGG